rnacentral:rRNA from 1 species
GCCCUCCACACAAGGGGCGCCGAACUACUACUCUCUCUAUUGUAGCACUGCGCGCACCUUGCAGAGAGGGGAUUCCGGCCACCUGGACUUGGACCGGUCCAGAUCUUCCUCUCCGGGAAGGCACCAUCGGGAAUAUUGCCCCACUGGGGGCAAAGCCCUGAUGCAGCAACCCCGCUGGAGUGAAGAAGCCCUUCGGUUGUAAAACUUCUUUCCUUAUGGGAAGAAAAAAAUGACGGUACCAUAGGAGGAAGCCCCGGCUAACUACGUGCCAGCAGCCGCGGUAAUACGUAGGGGGCAAGCGUUAUCCGGAAUCACCGGGCGUAAAGGGUGCGUAGGUGGCUUAUCAAGCCAGGGGUGAAAGGCGUUGGCUCAACCAAUGUAAGCCUUUGGAACUGAUAGGCUUGAGUGCAGGAGAGGUAAGUGGAAUUCCUAGUGUAGAGGUGAAAUUCGUAGAUAUUAGGAGGAACACCAGUGGCGAAGGCGACUUACUGGACUGUAACUGACACUGAGGCACGAAAGCGUGGGUAGCGAACAGGAUUAGAUACCCUGGUAGUCCACGCCGUAAACGAUGAAUACUAGGUGUCGGGCGUCAAAACUCGGUGCCGCAGCAAACGCAUUAAGUAUUCCGCCUGGGGAGUACGCACGCAAGUGUGAAACUCAAAGGAAUUGACGGGGACUCGCACAAGCAGCGGAGCAUGUGGUUUAAUUCGAAGCAACGCGAAGAACCUUACCAGGUCUUGACAUCCCUCUGAAGUAUGCAUAGCCGCAUAUGUCCUUCGGGACAGGGGAGACAGGUGGUGCAUGGUUGUCGUCAGCUCGUGUCGUGAGAUGUUGGGUUAAGUCCCGCAACGAGCGCAACCCUUGUGUUUAGUUGCCACCAGGUUAAGCUGUGCACUCUAAACAGACUGCCGUGGAUAACACGGAGGAAGGUGGGGAUGACGUCAAAUCAUCAUGCCCCUUAUGAUCUGGGCUACACACGUGCUACAAUGGUCGGUACAACGGGCAGCGAAAGAGUAAUCUGGAGCGAAUCCUAAAAAGCCGAUCCCAGUUCGGAUUGUGGGCUGAAACUCGCCCACAUGAAGUUGGAGUUGCUAGUAAUCGCGGAUCAGAAUGUCGCGGUGAAUGCGUUCCCGGGUCUUGUACACACCGCCCGUCACACCAUGGGAGUUGUCAAUACCCGAAGCCAGUGAGCUAACCGUUUACGGAGGCAGCUGUCGAAGGUAGGGGCGAUGACUGGGGUGAAGUCGUAACAAGGUAACCGUAGAAUCGUCGACCUG